AGGACUAACGCUGGCGGCGUGCCUAACACAUGCAAGUCGAGCGGGGUAGCAAUACCCAGCGGCAGACGGGUGAGUAACGCGUGGUCAACCUUCCGUUGAAUGGGGGAUAACUAGCCGAAAGGUUAGCUAAUACCGCAUACGAUCUUUUGAAGGCAUCUUUAAAAGAUGAAAGGAGCAAUUCGUUCAACGACGGGACCGCGUCCCAUUAGCUAGAUGGUGGGGUAAUGGCCUACCAUGGCAACGAUGGGUAGCUGGUUUGAGAGAGCGACCAGCCACACUGGGACUGAGAAACGGCCCAGACUCCUACGGGAGGCAGCAGUGAGGAAUUUUCCGCAAUGGGCGAAAGCCUGACGGAGCGACGCCGCGUGUGGGAAGAAGGCCUUCGGGUCGUAAACCACUGUCGAAGGGACGAUAAUGACGGUACCCUUGGAGGAAGCCCGGCUAACUACGCGCCAGCAGCCGC
rnacentral:rRNA from 1 species